rnacentral:rRNA from 1 species
AUUGAACGCUGGCGGCAUGCCUUACACAUGCAAGUCGAACGGCAGCACGGGUGCUUGCACCUGGUGGCGGGUGGCGAACGGGUGAGUAAUACAUCGGAACAUGUCCUGUAGUGGGGGAUAGCCCGGCGAAAGCCGGAUUAAUACCGCAUACGAUCUACGGAUGAAAGCGGGGGACCUUCGGGCCUCGCGCUAUAGGGUUGGCCGAUGGCUGAUUAGCUAGUUGGUGGGGUAAAGGCCUACCAAGGCGACGAUCAGUAGCUGGUCUGAGAGGACGACCAGCCACACUGGGACUGAGACACGGCCCAGACUCCUACGGGAGGCAGCAGUGGGGAAUUUUGGACAAUGGGCGAAAGCCUGAUCCAGCAAUGCCGCGUGUGUGAAGAAGGCCUUCGGGUUGUAAAGCACUUUUGUCCGGAAAGAAAUCCUUGGCCCUAAUACGGUCGGGGGAUGACGGUACCGGAAGAAUAGGCACCGGCUAACUACGUG